rnacentral:tRNA from 1 species
CGGGCAGUGGCGCAGCUUGGUAGCGCGCUUCGUUCGGGACGAAGAGGUCGGGAGUUCAAAUCUCCCCUGCCCGA